rnacentral:tRNA from 1 species
GGGCUCGUGGGGUAGCGGAUAUCCUGGGGGCCUCCGGAGCCCCAUACCCGGGUUCGACUCCCGGCGAGCCCG